CUUAUAUCAGAGGCUGUGGG
rnacentral:miRNA from 1 species